CUUCAAUCUUAACAUCACUGUUUUUUUAAACACAGAAUUUUCUUUUUUGAUUUUCCAGUGAUUUGCAACAUUUCUUUCUUAAUAUAGCAGUUUAAUCCCUUACCAUAAAAUAUUUCAAAAUUUUAGAACUGACACCAGUGAGAACAUGUCAUGGUACUGAAUCAGGCAUCAUAAUGAUUUUGCCUGUCAUUGCAUUUGGCAGGAAGUCAGACAAGUGCCAGUGAUGGUUUCUUGUCUGAUUUUGCAUUUCUCUGGCAAGAUGUCCCCUCUGAAGAGUUGACUAUUGGGCAGUUACUAGCUCAUGGCUCACCCACUUCUGGAACCUACCCCAUGAGCAAGAAUUAAAACCAACUCACACCCUCCAAGCUCCAGAAGCCUGCCAGUGUUUCCAUCUUGGCUGAAUGACUUCUGGAUUGAAACUCAAUUUGACUUUGGCAGUCAUCUAAUGAGAACUCAAAAGUCAUUCUUGGUUCAGCUACAGCCAAAGAACUUGCAGAACAUUCUCUGAUGAGAUCUUCAAGUACAACUGCGAGAAGCUCUAGUCCAGAGGAGAAAAGGAUAAUGAAUAUCACACUAAACAACAUGGAAUACUUCUCAAGUCACCAAAAAGAUCUUUGAAAGGGAAGGACCUAGGAACUGAAGCCAGACCCCCACCUCUGCAAGAGUCCCUCACUGGAGUCACUGAGCAGAUGCCCCCUCUCUGGGCUUUGGGGACAUGAGACUGCUGAGCACUUCCACCAGAGGGAAAGUGGAAGUGGCCCCAAGAAAGAGGAAGCCUUUACAAAGCAGUCUCAGGUAUCAUGUCUCAAACAG
rnacentral:lncRNA from 10 species